rnacentral:rRNA from 1 species
AGAACGAACGCUGGCGGCAGGCCUAAAACAUGCAAGUCGAACGCUCUAGCAAUAGAGAGUGGCGCACGGGUGCGUAACAUGUGGGAAUAUGCCUUUUGGUACGGAACAACUUUUGGAAACGAAAGCUAAUACCGUAUGGUCCCUUCGGGGUAAAGAUUUAUCGCCAAAAGAGUAGCCCGCACUGGAUUAGCUAGUUGGUAAGGUAAUGGCUUACCAAGGCGACGAUCCAUAGCUGGUCUGAGAGGACGACCAGCCACACUGGGACUGAGACACGGCCCAGACUCCUACGGGAGGCAGCAGUUAGGAAUCUUGGACAAUGGGCGAAAGCCUGAUCCAGCCAUGCCGCGUGAGUGAUGAAGGCCUUCGGGUUGUAAAGCUCUUUAGCCGACGAAUAUAAUGACUGUAGUCGGAGAAUAACGCCCCGGACUAACUUCGUGCCAGCAGCCGC